GACGAACGCUGGCGGCGUGCUUAACACAUGCAAGUCGAGCGGUAAGGCCCUUUUGGGGGUACACGAGCGGCGAACGGGUGAGUAACACGUGGGUGACCUGCCCUCAGCUCUGGGAUAAGCCUGGGAAACUGGGUCUAAUACUGGAUAUGACCUUUCCUCGCAUGGGGGUUGGGUGGAAAGUUUUUCGGCUGGGGAUGGGCCCGCGGCCUAUCAGCUUGUUGGUGGGGUGAUGGCCUACCAAGGCGACGACGGGUAGCCGGCCUGAGAGGGCGACCGGCCACACUGGGACUGAGACACGGCCCAGACUCCUACGGGAGGCAGCAGUGGGGAAUAUUGCGCAAUGGGCGGAAGCCUGACGCAGCGACGCCGCGUGGGGAUGACGGCCU
rnacentral:rRNA from 1 species